UAGGGAAUAUUGCAAAAUGGGCGAAAGCCCGAUGCAGCAACGCCGCGUGGGCGAUGAAGGCCUUCGGGUCGUAAAGCCCUUUUUGAGGGGAUGAGGAAGGACAGUACCCUCAGAAUAAGCCUCGGCUAACUACGUGCCAGCAGCCGCGGUAAAACGUAGGAGGCGAGCGUUAUCCGGAUUUACUGGGCGUAAAGCGCGUGCAGGCGGAUUGGAGAGUUGGAUGGGAAAGCUCCCGGCUUAACUGGGAGAGGUCGUUCAAUACUUCCAGUCUUGAGUGCAGUAGAGGGAAGUGGAAUUCCGGGUGUAGUGGUGAAAUGCGUAGAUAUCCGGAGGAACACCAGUGGCGAAAGCGGCUUCCUGGACUGUAACUGACGCUCAGACGCGAAAGCUAGGGUAGCAAACG
rnacentral:rRNA from 1 species